CUUUUCAAAGGUGGAGUCAAAGAUUCAAACACUGAACAUCGUAGUUUUGAGAUGUAUAAUAAUAAUAAUGAUGAUAAUAAUAAUAAUAAUAAUGAGCAGAGUGUGAAUCUGUAGGCCUCCAGUGAAACCUACAGCUGCGUUAGAUUGAGCAGCUCUUUGUUACUUGAAGUUAAAACAUCGUCUGAUUAUUCUUCAUGUUGGUUUUAAUCACUGAAAGAAAAAGGAUUAACAAUCCAAAAUGAAUCAAUCAUUUUGAUCAGCCCUAUUUCUGCUCGAUUAACAAUAGAUAACCAUUAGGUGUCACAUAAGAUAAAGUAUCCUUAGUGUCAUUCAGAAUUAUUAGAGCUCUUUUUUCUUUUAAUUUACUUUGUCCAAACGAUUUCUAAAUGCCAUGACAGGAAGUACAGAAACAUGUCCUCAGAGUGGCUUGAAACUUGGAAAAAUGACUUCUCUGGAAUGUCAGCUGACGGCAGAGACAGAAGAAAUGAAGUUCAAGCAGAAAGAAAUCCUACAGCAGCUGAACCAACUUGGCAGAUCCCGAACAAACCCAGAGUCCGACGUGGAGGGGCUCCGUGAAGGUGGUCUCUACCUUUUGAAGGAGAGUCAUGGAGUCGGAGACGCUGUGGAAGGACAGGAUUCCUGCACUCUGAUCCACGUACACCCCGAUCUUGCUGGACUGAGAGACCUGAAGGAAGGUGGUGGUGCUGUCAUAUCUGAACUCGUUAUUGUGACACCACAACGCUCACGACUUGUCAUUGAAUCCGAAUCCACUCUCACUUCCUGUUCUGCUGAUGCUCUUGUAGGCGACCGCUAUAGCAACAAACUUGCUCCACUUCACCUCCCAGUAACACCGUCCACUCAGAGCCUCUUUGCUGAGGACCUGAAGGCUGUCGCUGAAUCUUUCUGGGUGAUCAGGGUACGACUGCUCCUUCUUCAUGUACGUGACCUUCCUGUUCCCCUCAGACAGUGACAGCCAUUUGCUCACUGUAUUUGGAUCCAGCGUGAUUGGACACAUAUACUGUAAGAAUUCAUUUCUGGUCUUGGGCUCUGCCGGCGGUGCAAAAGGUAGCGGCGGUGUCACCAAAGCUGGGUGUGGUGGGGCCAAAGCCGUGGGCUCUGCUGGUGGCACUGAAGAUGUUGGUGACACCAAGUGUUGUUGCGGUUGUUUCAAAAAGCUCUUGGGCUCUGCUGGAGGCACCACAUGUUGUUUCAAUGAAUUUCUGCGUGCUGCUGUUGCCAGAAAAGAUGCUGCUGUUAGAUGUGGUGCUGGUGGAAAACGGGGUUGUUUCAAGAAACUCUUGGGCUCUGUUGUUGGCACCACACGUAGUUGUUGUUGGAAGGCUGCCGAUUUGACUACUUCUUCUUUUUUUGUUAUGAAAGAUGGCGUGGCUGGUGGUGGUGGCACCACACGUAGUUCUUGGAAGACUACAGGUUUGGGUUCUUCUUUUUCUACAAAUGAUGGUGGUGCUGGUGGUGGUGGCACCACACGUAGUUGUUGUUGGAAGGCUGCAGAUUUGACUUCUUCUUUUGUUAUGAAGGAUGGUGGUGGUGGCACCAUAUGCGGUUGCGUCCCUGAACCCUCAAGCUCUGCUGGUCUCAGCGGCGCCUCUCCUUGGGUCCAGCCCUGACUCAGAAGGUCUUGGAGUUUGUCUUUGAGCUGAGACACCGCCGCCGUCACCUCCUCAAAGCUCGAAGGAGGGACGUUGACGCUGGUGUGUGUAGAUUUGCCGAGUGCUGACAGCAAGUAGAAAGUGAGUAGAAAGUGGUGGUGGUCCUCGGUGUAUGAAAGCUGCUUCAGCUCCCAGUCUUUCUUCUUUAACUCGGCGAUCUCGUUCUGCACCUUCUCCUCGAGCUCUUUGACCCGACAAGUUUCGGUUUCCUGCUGGAUUCUGAUCUGCUGCUGCACUUCGGAGCUUCGUCUCGCGAUGAGUUGGGCCAGCUGGCUGAACACCGUCUGGCUAUUCCUUGCUGCUUCAUCGGCAGAACUCCUGAUGACCCCCACCUGCUUCUGAAGCACCAUCAGAUCUUGCUCCAAGUCUUGGAUUCUCCGCUGAAUGUUUUGCCGACAUGGGUCGAGCUCAGUCUGCCUCUCUGCCCGCUCUGCUGCCAGUGACACGACGUCGUGGCCUUUGUGUUCGCUGAUAGAGCAGAGGUAGCAGAUACACUGCUUGUCACUGCGACAGAAAACUUUCUUCACUUUGUUGUGGAGACAGCAGAUUUUUUCUUGGAGGUUUGCUGAGGCUUCAACCAGUUUGUGGCUCUGGCCUGGGAAUCAUAGUGAGGCUGGAGAUGAUCGUCGCAGUAGGAGGCCAGACACUGCAGACAGGACUUGGUGGCUCUCUGCUUCCUUCCAGUGCAGAAAUCACAGGGCACAUCUCCAGGUCCAGCAUAGUUGUGAUGAACAGGAGGAGCAGCUUGGAGCAGCUUGGAGCUCAGUUUUCUUCAGCUCCUCCACCAACUCUGCUAACAUGGUGUUUUUGCCCAGCACUGGCCUCGGUAUGAAGGUUUUCC
ensembl:lncRNA